rnacentral:rRNA from 1 species
AUGGUGCAAUACCCUAUCUUGUACAUAAUUGUCAUACAUAAAUUCAUCACGAUCAAACAACUUCCAAGACAAGGAAGCCCUGAUAUUUCUUUCCAAAGGGGCCUUUUUGGGCCUCGUCUGAUAGCAUGGAAUGAAUUACUCAUUCGUUUGGAGGCCAUUCAGCUGUCAGGUGAACCAGACAAGUUUCGAUGGAAUUUGCAUCAGAACUGUAGCUUUUCUGUCAAAUCUUUGUAUGAUGCAUUAGUUCAUAGUGAUGUUUCAGAUGAUAACAAGAAAUUGUGAAAGCUCAAAACUCCUCUAAGAGUAAAGAUAUUCCUCUGAUUUCUAAAUAGAGGGGUGAUCUUAACUAGAGAUAAUCUGGCACGACGUAACUGGGAAGGUAGCAAAACAUGUGUCUUUUGCCAACAUGACGAGUCAAUUAAACACUUAUUUUUUUACAUGUAA